CACUGACACAGGCAGCAUUAUGACAAUGUCAGUCGUUCUACUGCUGGUGAUGUUGGGACUUUUUGUACAAGGAUCAAUGGCAGAUAUAGUGCUGACUCAAGAUCCAGCAGCUCGGUCUGUUCAGCAGGGAGACACUGUCUCUAUCAGCUGUACAGCUAGUCAGAGUGUGGGUGACUGCAUAAAUUCCGAAGAUGACAUCGGUCCCUGUCUCUACUGGUACCUGCAGAAACCUGGUCAGGCUCCUAAACUUCUGAUUUAUCUUGCCACAAGUCGCCAGACUGGGAUUCCUGAUCGUUUCAGUGGGAGUGGAUCUGAGACUCAGUUUACACUGAAAAUCACUGGAGUCCAGACUGAAGAUGCAGGAGAUUAUUACUGUCAGAGUUACCACAGUGGCUAUGUGUUCACACAGUGA